rnacentral:piRNA from 1 species
CAUUAAUGUAUAUCGUGCAUUACAUUA